rnacentral:rRNA from 1 species
AGCAGCCGCGGUAAUUCCAGCUCCAAUAGCGUAUAUUAAAGUUGUUGCAGUUAAAAAGCUCGUAGUUGAAUUUCGGGAUCAGUACGCUGGUCAUGCCUUUGGUAUGCGCUGGUGUCACUGGUUUCUCCCUUCUGAAGAUCCGUGAUGUCAUUAAUUUGGUGUCGCGAGGAAUCAGGACUGUUACUUUGAAAAAUUGAGUGUUUAAAGCAGGCUCACGCUUGAAUACAUUAGCAUGGAAUAAUGAAAUAGGACGUUUGACCCUAUUUUGUUGGUUUCUAGGAUCGACGUAAUGAUUAAUAGGGAUAGUUGGGGGCAUUAGUAUUCAAUUGUC